CUAGUAACUGCGAGUGAAGCGGGAAAAGCUCAAAUUUAAAAUCUGGCAGUCUUUGGUUGCCCGAGUUGUAAUCUAAAGAAGUGUUACCCGCGUUGGACCGUGUACAAGUCUCCUGGAAUGGAGCGUCAUAGAGGGUGAGAAUCCCGUCUUUGACACGGACUGCCAAGGCUUUGUGGUGCGCUCUCAAAGAGUCGAGUUGUUUGGGAAUGCAGCUCAAAAUGGGUGGUAAAUGCCAUCUAAAGCUAAAUAUAGGCGAGAGACCGAUAGCGAACAAGUACCGUGAGGGAAAGAUGAAAAGAACUUUGGAAAGAGAGUUAAACAGUACGUGAAAUUGCUGAAAGGGAAACGCUUGAAGUCAGUCGCGUUGGCAAGGAAUCAACCUUUCUUUUGACUGGUGUACUUCCUAGUUGACGGGUCAGCAUCAGUUUUGACCGGUGGAUAAAGUCUGUAGGAAUGUGGCAUCUUCGGAUGUGUUAUAGCCUAUAGUCGCAUACAUCGGCUGGGACUGAGGUACUCAGCGCGCCGCAAGGCCGGGUUUCGACCACGUUCGCGCUUAUGAUGCUGGCAUAAUGGCUUUAAUCGACCCGUCUUGAAACACGGACCAAGGAGUCUAACAUGCCUGCGAGUGUUUGGGUGGAAAACCCGAGCGCGUAAAUGAAAGUGAAAGUUGAGAUCCCUGUCGUGGGGAGCAUCGACGCCCGGACCANACCUUCUGUGACUGAUCCGCAGUAGAGCAUGUAUGUUGGGACCCGAAGGAUGGUGAACUAUGCCUGAAUAGGGUGAAGCCAGA
rnacentral:rRNA from 1 species